rnacentral:lncRNA from 1 species
CCCAGAUCCACAGUGGUGUACUCUCUUGCUGGUGGGGCAGUCGGCUACAGUUCUUUAUCUUAUCAGCUCCUACAAACACUGCAUUUCCCUGGUAAGAUCUCGGCACUUGAAGGUGAAAGGCCUUCCUGCCCUGGAGUUUGAUGGGAGCUGAGUUAUCAAAAGAGAAGUCUUCCUUACAGAUUGGUGUACUUCUUAUCAGGUCUAAGAUGUCAGGAAAGCACCUGGCGAAGCACAUCACAGACACUAGAGGGCGGUGUGUGUCCACCAAUCAACCCUGAAGCUCAAG